AAUUAAAAAUAAAUUACAGGCAGCUGUAGAAAACAAAUAAAAAUACAAAAGUCAGUAUGACAUUAAUUUACUUCGUCACUAGUGUACUACGUCACAGUUGUAAUUAUUUUAAGAACGGUUGGCAGAAUCAUCCGUCCGCAAUAUUCAACAACAUUCAACUUGCCGCUAUAAAAAGCCAAUAUAAACCUAAAUGCCGCCGAGAUCGCCCGCAUUAUCUCGUGAUUAUCGCGUGUCAAAACAUCGCCACGCUCGCGAUACUUCGCAUGUAAUCUGAUAAACGAUGUGUUCUGCACGCUUCGCGCUUCGCCGUUAUCUCGCCCACUCAACCGAUAAACGUAUAAAGCUGUCUUCGUCUCGCGGUCAUCCAUUUCAUUCAUGCGCGGUACACCUCGACGGCUCGCUGUUUACAGACACAAACAAACAGUACACAAAACCGCUUAGCUUUAAGUACGAGACCAUGAAAGUGAUAUUGUCAAAUGCAUCUAUCUCGCUCUGAUGCCCGAACUUUUAGUUCCUUGGCCACAACUAGAUGUCGCUACAUGUUCCGAUUCGUGAAAUCUGUGAACUGAAUGGUACUUAUUAACUCCAUGACUGAAUGUCACUAUUAUUCGGGUGCGACGUUGCCGGACUUCGCCACCCGAUGAGGUGGCGGGAGCACGCUAUAAACCAACAACAUUAUGAAUAUGGCCUCGGAAACUUUAUCCUCCAGUGUUAAGGGAAUUCUGCCUAUAAUGUUCCGCAACUAUUCACUGCUCAGAUGCAUCAAAUGGUAACUGUACGAAGAUGAGUCACUCGAAAAAGACGGUAUUUUUAAACACAGAAGAAAUAGGUAUUUGCUGCAAAAUCCAAAACAAGUAUGAAAUAAUAAAUGUUUGUUUGAAAUAAGAUAAAAUACAUCACCUAAA